GACGAACGCUGGCGGCGUGCUUAACACAUGCGAGUCGAACGGAAAGGCCCUGCUUUUGUGGGGUGCUCGAGUGGCGAACGGGUGAGUAACACGUGAGUAACCUGCCCUUGACCUUGGGAUAACUUCAGGAAACUGGGGCUAAUACCGGAUAGGAGCUCCUGCUGCAUGGUGGGGGUUGGAAAGUUUCGGCGGUUGGGGAUGGACUCGCGGCUUAUCAGCUUGUUGGUGGGGUAGUGGCUUACCUAGGCUUUGACGGGUAGCCGGCCUGAGAGGGUGACCGGCCACAUUGGGACUGAGAUACGGCCCAGACUCCUACGGGAGGCAGCAGUGGGGAAUAUUGCACAAUGGGCGGAAGCCUGAUGCAGCAACGCCGCGUGCGGGAUGACGGCCUUCGGGUUGUAAACCGCUUUCGCCUGUGACGAAGCGUGAGUGACGGUAAUGGGUAAAGAAGCACCGGCUAACUACGUG
rnacentral:rRNA from 1 species